GGGAGAUCGGCGAUGGACGAGCGCCUUGCCAACCCGGUCAGGUCCGGAAGGAAGCAGCCGCAGUGAGUUUCGCCCGGGUUAUCUGUCCGGUCUCCCACCCCGGGACUUU
rnacentral:SRP_RNA from 1 species